ACCCAAAGAAGAAGAACAUGGCAGCAAGAUUUCUGAAAGAUUCACUCACUUUUUAACAAUCCCACCAAAUAUUGUAGAUUAUGAUUGUAAGAGGCCUGUCUGAACUUAAUAUACAGAUUUCAUGCUGUUGUUAACGGUGUGAUUUCUGAUGGUUAUGUUUAAGAGGUUUGUAUUGAAAGCAUUUUGUGAUAGUUUAUGGUGGGUCACGUGAUUUGGGCGGUAUUGAUUGCCUAUUUUAGGCACCUGUUCAUGCAGUGUAGGUUGGAUGGUCCAAAAUCUCAGUAGCAUUGCUAUGAAACUUGAUCUUGUAGGGUUGCUACAGAAGGAGUCGGGGGAUAAAUGUUAUCAGGCAUUGUUUCAGUUUUUGAGAGAAGGAAGGUUGUUUUGGAGGAUAUGAAGUGGGGUUUUUUUUGUUUGUUUUGAGCGUGAUUUCUGUCCACACUCCAUACCAGUGGUGGCGGUAAUGCACCAUGCAGUUGUUUGCCAACCGCCAAUAAUACGUAAAAGAAGAAGUAGUGUCAGUUGGAGCAGAGAGGAUUGACGUGUGGCUUUAUGUUUUGGGGUUGCUGAGUUUUUGGUUCUUUUGUGUGUGUUGCUUUAGAUUUUUUUUCCCCCUGUAGAUUUCUUUUGUUGCUAAACAUUUAAGAUCUUGGAGAAUCACUGUUUUUGGAGAAGGCGUCACACAAGUAUUCAGGUCCAGUCUCACGUUCUUAGCAGCUUUUCAUUUGUUCCUGAAGUUGCCAACAAAAAUCCAUCUAUGGAAGAAUCUCAACAUGGAGCAUGGCAUCAAGGAUGCAGAGGAUUUAAGUCAGCAAAUAUGGAUCCAGACACAGAGCACCUCACAAGGAAGGCGCACACCCUCAUCAAGAGCUGCUCUAUGGCCACAGAAUCUGGCCAGAAGAGAUUUUCCAGGGCCUACUCCCCUGGGUUCAGGAGGGUGAAGUGGAACAGUCUGUGAAGCUGCAAAAAUGGCUGAGUGGAAGACUUGGAUGACUUUCAUCAAUCUGAAUCUCAACAGGUGAAGCCUUGUUUUCAGAACUGAAGGAGGAAGUUUAGGAAAACCAGCACAUGAUGUAGAGAAAUUUCAGCACUGUGGCUCGACAGGAGCAGGUCCUGCCUUACCUGAACACCUUUGUCAGUGAUGGAGCUUCCUGUUUGUAUCCAAACACUGGGUCAGUUAAAGAGGGUGGGGCAGUACAGAAAGGCCACCUCCUCCCUUGUGUUGGUGUAGCUGAAGUCGUAGACGUCCAAUAUUGCACAGUACUGUCAAUAUUUUCUCCUCUUGCCUUUGGUGCCGUUUAUCCAUCUAGAUUAUUUUGGUAUGGGCAACCCACUUUUGUAGUUUUCUCUGAGCUCUGUGUCUCUGAAAAGUAAUGUUUCCGUUCUAAAGAAAUCCAGACUGUGUUACAGAUCUACUGACCUUGUAGGAAUUCUUUUCUUUCCACUGAACUACAUCUGCUAACCAUAUCAGUGUCCUGGAGGAAGCACGUAAAGGCUUUGAACAAGAAGCUGGACUUCAUGACAGGCUUCAUGCUUCUUUGUAGUUGGCAGGUGUAGACACUGCACCAGAUUUCUGAGUUUUAACAAAUUAAUGCAUUUCAAUAAUACUUGGGACUAGAAAAGGUGGCAGUAGAGAAACAGGCAGUGCUUCAUUUAACAAAGUCAAUAUUUAUAGCAGAAAAGAUGCAGGUCUAGAUCAUUUUGCUUAAAAUAUUUAUUAAAAACCCUGGACUAACCUCUAGCCUUAAAACAUGUUAAGCAUAAAAAUAUUAACAGGUGUAAUUAAGACAUGUGUGCUCUUUCAAAUACAGCCUCUGUCAUGUCAACAAACAUGAACAGAAUACUUAAAAUGGCCGUCAGAUAAAAUUCGCAGCAAACCUGAUAUGCUGCCAGUGCCAGCUAGAUUCCAUGUUGGAAAAACAGAUGAUGUGGAAGUGCUUUAAAUUUCUCUGGAAACCACCAGCAUGUGGUUUCAAAAUCAGACCUCCACACAUCAUAUUUCUGCCAUGUUGUUUUUGAGACCAGUAUGGCAAAAAUCCUCAUCUUGUGCUUCAGAAUGAUAAUUCACAAAUAAAAGGGGGCUGUAACAGUAGCUACAGCCAUCUUUAGCUGUUAGCAAGGUUCUCCACUUUCUCUGUAAAAACUUGCACUGUGAAGUCCGGGGUUGUUCACAUUCCAUGCAGUGCUGAAGACACUGGUGUUGCAAUCAUAAUGCAACAAAAUGAAACAAAAUAUUUUCAUGAACUCAUCUCUUAAUGUUAUAUACAAAACUUCUGAUGGUGUCCUCUGAUUUCCCAGUAUGUAUUUACAAUAGCCAGAGUCGACUGAAUUCGAAUAUUUCUAAAAUCCAAUGGAUUAAAAAUUAAAGGGCCAAAAAUUCACCCUGUUCCUUUAAUUUACUGAAAGAGAUCAAAUCUGAGACUCUAAUAUGUUGAGCUGCAUGAAGAUUAAAACUUAAUACAAAAAAGCUGAUCUACAUUACAAUAUUUGUAAUUAAAUGAGCAUUAGGUGUUGGAAAGACUCUCCACUUGCUCCUUCAAAACUUGUAUUGUGAAGCCCGGAGUUGUGUUGUACAUUCAUACCAGCAACAGGGUUGAAUUCAUAAUGUCCAUUGCCAGCCAAACAUCUGGGGUGAGGUGGGGAAGGUCCAUUGAGGUCCAGCCGCAAAAUUGCCCACAACAUGAUGAUAGGGGGCCUGAUAAUUUGCAGCAUUUGUGAUUAACUUCAUCUCCAGGUGCUGGGUGUAUUCCCUGAGUGGGGGCUGUCCCUCUCCCUGAAACUGAAUCACAGACAGAUACAGAGUCAGUAAAACCAAAAUACAGAGUUCUUGUUUGGAACUAUAGUCAAUACAUUUCACCAAAUUAAAUGAAUUCCCAAGAUAAUGACUGAAUUAGAAACUGUUCUGUUUAAUGAUUGGAGAUACUUGCAUGAAGUGGGACGCCCUGAUUGAGAUGCUGAGAAUCUGAACUCCUCCUAAACUUUCUUCUUCUGUUUUGAAACAAAGUCUUUACGUAAAGAUGGAAGAAAACGGAAGAAAUUUAAUGAGUACAAUAGACCCAAAAUUCAAAAUGAAUUCAGUUUCUUAUGUUCUAGUAACCUUGAAAAACACUCACCUGUUUGUAGGUCAGUCCUGUUAACUCUGCCAUCUCUGUCAUCUCCCAUGGCUCAGGGUAAUGUUUCUGAUUAAAGUGAUAGACGUUUUUAACUGGCUGUCUGAGAACAGCCCCGGGGUCCUUCCUUUGAGCACUUGGCCUUUUCUUCCUUCUCACAUGUAGUACUUGUGACAGUGUUGCUGCCAUCCUGGUUUCUUGGGACAGCAAAACCCUGUUCCUCCUCCGUGAGAGAGCUGGAAACAGCUUCAGCAGUCUCAAACAUGUUGUUCCUCGUCUCCUUUUCAAGAGCACUCUCCACCCAGGCAGCAAGUUCUUCCAUGGGAAGACUCCCUUCAAGGCUGCUGCCAGAAAUCCACAAGUCUAUAUGGUCCACAUGGCUCAGUUCAUCUGUGUUGCCAUGAGUCACUUUAGAAAAGCCAAUUAUACCAGGGUAAACUGCUGAGUGGAUUUUAAGGCCUAGAGUUGGUGUAGGCAAGAAUGCACAGGACUGAAAGAAUCAUUUUUUUUUUUUUUUUUUUUUUUUUUUUUUUCUCUCCCCUCAUUGAUCCCAUUCGUUGAUUCAUCAUUUAGAAAACUGAAAAAAGCACUCAGCAAGUAGUCAAGUAAAUGAGCUCUACUAAAACCUUAAACCUUAUUUUUCUAAAUAUUCAUCAUUGGAAGUCUGCUGUUUUUCAUUUUAACCACUGAUGUCUCAAGAAAAGAAAGUGUAAUCUCACAGAUAAUGACCUGUUUGUAGUAUUGGGUGGAAGGUUUUCAAUUUCUAUAUAACAGUGAUGUCAAAGUGAGGGCUGCAAGAGUUCAUUUAUAAAUUUGUAAUCAGCUGUGUAAGAUGGUAGACUGGUAUCACCUGCAUAUUAACUCACCUCCGCAUUUACUGUGGGAAAUGGCCACUGAUGUGUGAGUGGGUUUGUUUCACAACUGCUGUGAGCCAGUGGCUGUGAUUGGGCUGGGUUCAUUGAAGGCAGAUGUAUUUGAUUGCACUCUAGUCUACUUAUACUCCAGACUACAAGUACUGCUGUUACUGAUGGCCAAAUGAAGCUUUCUGAAGUGUUGACGCUUGUAUUAGCCAAAAGUAUGAAGAGCAGCUUGAAUCUACAACUUGAAAUGAACUGCUUCAUUAUCAUUGCCCAGUCACAGCUUCUGUUUAAUAUCAUGUGAUAAUUCUGUCUGAUAUCAGGCUAACGUUGUGGUGCUUUGAACCUGUAUUUUCUGUGUGACACAAUGUUAUGUCUGUUUCAUGAAUAAAUUUGAUGAGUAAAUUUGUUUAAACAUGA